CCAGCUGUUCACCGCGUCCGAACGCGCUUUCGCGAAAAAGUUAAUUCACAAACGACCACGACCGCGUCGCGCCGGAGAAUAGAAUGUCCAACGAUACGACGUGCUGUGCAGUUUACUCUCCGUCGUGUUGAUUGAUUUCCCUGCCCUACGGUUUUCCACCACCCACAGAUGCGCGCUCACACACGCCCUGCGGACGUGCUGCAUACAUAUGUACUACAACAACAGAGCUGCAGCCCAAUCGCAUCGCGUCUGAUUGAAUCGCAGUCAAGUGUUUUGUUUUUUAGCCGUUCUACGUGGAGCGAAUAGUAUAUUCAAAUCCUAAUUCCACUCGCGGAACGAAAGUGAAUGUCGGCGAACACACAAUAAAAUUAUGUAAAGACAAUAGAAACAAAUAGCAAUUCUCUGCCUUUUUUUGUGCAAUGCGCUUAUCAGAGUGUCUGCCCAUUUAAUGGAAGCUGCGCCGGCAAAAUGUGCUGCCUGCCGCAACCCGUGCUAGACCUCCUUCACUCACAGCAGCAGCAGCAAGAGAAACGCGACAGGCAACGACAGCGGCACAUCAAGCCGAAACUUAAAAUAGCCGGAGCCCCUUGUUGAGCGCCACUCAAAUUGCCAGGCCCGCAAAUAAACUUAAAACACUAUAGGCAAUAUCGACUGCAAUAGAAUAAGGAACUGCUAAGAUUAUUAUGAAGAAACCCUAAUAGACUAAUAUGUGCUGAAAUAAUUGGAUUACUCGCCAUGCAAAAGGACAUUUAGAGGAGGAAAUUCAACAUAACUGGCGUGACAACACUCAAAUACUGGACAGGCUAUAAAGAAAACCAUCAUACUGGAGGCCUCACUCACUUUAAAGCGCAUUUUUGCUCGCAAAAUUGGCUACAACACGAAAUCCAAGUCAAUUUUAGCGGCCAUGCGCACGAAACACUUGAUCCUGAUACUGAUCGGGGUGAUAUUCGCAACGAUAGUGUUCAUCGCCGUUGGCCCAGCCGGGGAGCCGAACGAUUCAUUCAAGAACAUCGUCGUCCAGACGCACCAACAGCUGAAAGAGUUCCAGGAGAACCUACGCGUGGGCCUGGAGCGGAAGAAGCUCGAAAUAGAUGCCAAGUAUCUGGUGCUGCUUGGAUUCACCGCCUCUAAGGAUGGCUCGACACAGCAGCAGCAAAAGGAGCUGCAGCAGAAUCAUCAGCAGCUGCCGCAGACAGACCUCCCAGCUCCUGCUACCAAGGCGGAACUGGAGCUCAGCGAUCUGCGUCGCCAGCACGCACAAGAAGCGGGCGCCAACGCGCAACAGACCGACGACCAAGAGAGGGAGAAGGAGAUGGGGCAGCACAGGAGGAUCACAACACCAUACAAUGGCACCAAGAGCAACUUCACCAUUGUCACGUACGUGCAGGAGGGGCAGGCGCCAUCGGCCAUACUGCUGGCCCAGAACAUCGCCGUCAAGCUGCCCGGCGAGCAUCUGCUCAUCUACGACCUGGGCGUGUCGGAGGAGCAACUGAAAGCCCUCAACGCCUACUGCAACAUCAGCCGUUGCGCCGUCAUCACCUACGACCUGUCCGAGUUCCCCUCGUUCGUCGCCGACCAGCGGACGCACGCCUACCGGCCCAUUGUGAUAAAAGACGCCCUGCUGCGUGCCCGGUCGGUGCUGUUCGUGGAGAACUACAUGCGGAUGCGCGGCGGCUACCACGAGCUGCAGGAGCUGCAGAGUCGCGGCAUGGUGGCCGGUGUCCUUGGCUGGAACACGCCCACGGCGGUGUCCUCGCUCACCCAUCCCAAGAUGUUCGACUUCUUCGAGUCGGAUGCCGAGGACUUCAUAUUCCUGCGGAUGGUCGAUCUCGAUGUGGUCUUCUUCGUGGACAAUCUGUUUGUCACCGAGAAGAUCAUGCUGCCGUGGCUUAAGUGCUGCCUCACCCAGGAGUGCAUCGAUCCAAUUGGUGCCCAAUCGAACGGCUGCAAGUUCAACAAGAAGCCCCUGUAUCGCUACUCCGGCUGCCACGGCUACGAUGCAUCCGCCUUCAACAUUGUGCUGGGUCUGACUUGGCGCUGGGACAACUCGAAGUACUCGCUGCCCAGCGACGAUGCCAAGAACAUGUUCUACAAGGAGACCCUGGAGGAGGCAACACGCAUUCUGGAGAGUCGACGUCGCAACAGCAGCGAGACAUCCGAUCAUCCGUUCACGGAGGACUGAGCGCAGGCAGGAGUAGGAUCAGCAUUUGAUACAACAUUUUAUACGAGCAUCCGCAGACAGACACGCAGACACUCAGGAGACUCAGGAGCCGCUAGCACGCAUGCUAUUCCCAUCUUGUCGAUGAUGGGAUCGUGAUCCCUGGGCAACCCCUACACUUGAGAUGCUGGAUACCAUGAUCUGGACCUGAUCAAAGCAGCAGACUCACUCGUGCAGCUUAUCGAUACAAGCAACCCCUUUAGUCAAGCCCUAGUUACUUACUAUUUAACUUACUGUUUAACUUACUCGUUUUUCGCUUCGAGGAUCGUUAAACUCCCCUGUUUAGAUAUUUUCUACCACGUAAAUACCCUGUAAAUACAUAAGUAUAUCAAAUGGCAUACAUUUUGUGAUUGUAUUUUAUAGUUACACCCAUACCAAUAACUAUAACUAUACACAUACACGUACACGUACACACAGAUAUACAGUAUAAUUAACUUAUUGUAACUACCGUAGGACAAAACGAGCCAAAAAAUUAAGUUUAUAAAAUAUUGAAUUACCAAUAA
rnacentral:misc_RNA from 1 species